rnacentral:lncRNA from 1 species
GUUGAUGAAAUAUGUUAGACUUGGACGGGUGAUAGGGCGAUGAUGGGAGGUUGGUUUCCCCUGAUGCAAGUAGCCCCGUCUAGGUCGUUAAGGACCGAACAUUUUGACAUCUAAUCAAGCACCCUACGUACUUACCACAUGCCUUAUUUGGGACCGGCUUGUUCUUACUAGUUCUACUGUGAUCAUUUAUAUCACGUUGGAGAGUCGUGAGGCAGGUAGCCUUUGGAGGGCCUCGGGUGCCUAGGUUUGGCCGGGGGUGCCUCCCGCGUGGCGCGCCCGCCUUGGUCACAUCACGCACGCACGUGACUGAGUUGUCGGGAACCCCAGCGUGGUAUAGGUGGUUGGGGUGAGGCUAAGAAAGGGCAUGUAAUGAGCUUGAAUCACUUGUGUACCGCACUCGACGGGGUGUGUAGCUUUUGAUCCUUGUUCAUUUCGUGUGGGUCCAGUUGUACACCUCUGAUCAGAGUAUAAUCUAUUCGAAUAGUCGCGUCCUCGGUUAUAGACAAUGCUUGAUGUGUUAGUUAUGUUAGCAUCAAAUGUGGAUUAUUAUGGAUGGGAUUAUGUUUGAUGGUGGUGUUGGCAUGUUGUGCCAUGUUGUUAUGGACUUUGGUAGUCCAUGGUUGAUGAUGAGAGCGCCGUUUGGGCUCAUUUGCUUAUAUAUUUCAGAAUUAUAUACUUGCUGUCCAUAAAUUAAAAUGAUGCUAGAUUUACUUGUCCUUGCUUAUUUUACUCAUUAAUUGCUCAAUAAAAUUUGCUUGAUGCAAAUGUUGAACCUAGAGACCCACUAUAGGCUAGAAAGCUUGCAUACUUCUCUCUCCCUUUUGUAUAUAUAAUUUUGGGUAAGACUUGCGAGUACAAUCUUGUACUUAAUCCGGUGUCUGCAAUUUCAGGAGAGGAUUCCGGUUAUGAGUUAUGCUUCUUGUGUGGUCAUUGGUCUGCCGAGGACGGCGAGGGCAAUGAGUGAUCUCUUGCAGCUUGGCUCUUGCCCGGUUGGUUUGCCCUAGUGGGGUUGUGGCACCACCGGUUUUAUCUUUUGCUUAUGAACUCUAUUUGAGACUUCCGCUGCUAUAUUUAGGUGUUGUAUGUUGGGACCUCGGACCCUAUUAUGUGUCAUGUACCUCGCUGCACUUUAACCCUAUUAUGGUACUUGCUAUGUUUAUUAAUUGCUUGCGAUGAAAGUGUGAGGCUAGUCACAUUCCUGGGGACUAGCUAAGCAUGAGUAACGGGUUUUGAUCGCUUGAGAUAAUCGGGGAUAGCGCUUUGGAUCGAGUCACUGGGGUAUACUUUUGGUCGCCACCUUCGAGUGGUUGACGGGCAUAUGACGGAGUGUACUGGCAAGCUGUCUUACGGUUAUCUCUUGCGCUCACUACUCGACAUUCCGGUUAUUAUAAUAGAAGGUUGUCAACCGCGAUCAUGGACACAUUGAGGACGAGUGGCUAUUUAUGCGUGUAUAGAUCCCAUUCCUUCAAUAGUAUGUGGUGGUCGUGUUGGACACUGGAUGAUAUAAUACUCGGGGUGUCCACAAAAAAUGCCGUCGUUAAUAAAAUAGUGACCAAAAAAAGUUGCGUGGUCGUUAGUACUAUUACGACGGAGCUUUUAACGACCACUGACGACCACACUUUUGUGGUUGUUAAUGAUCUUUAACGACCACAUUUAAGCUUUUAACGACCACAUUUCGGGUCGUUAAUAAUCAAUUCUCCAGUAGUGUCAUGGUAGAAGCAGAGGUCGUGUUCAAAGAAACAAUCACUCAGUUGAAUUUUCAGUUGAAUUUGAUAAAAGGGAGGACUGGUACACGCACCCUAGUGAAACCGGCCUGUCCAAAGACAAAAUCACUAGCAGCCAAUUAUCACCAAACAUAAAAACCAAUCAUCACAAAAUAAUAAUCCAAACACACUUUGAUUACACAUAUUCAACAAAUUAAAAUGAGAUAUAAUUUGAUGGGACAGAGCCCCCAACUCCUCCUUAUUAUUAACUAGUGUUAAACCACAUAGUUUAGCCAACAAAUUUUAAUGAAACUAUGCCACCCAUAUUGCAUUCAGAGAACCAUGGCUACCAAUUUCAAGAGUAUAUAUAGCACCAUUGUGCAUUGUACUAUGCUCUUUUGAUGAUAGCAUAGUAAACCAAAAGGAGAGCUAAUAGGAAGACAUAAAGAUAACUUGCAUCGGGUUAAACAAUUGUUUACAAUUGAGAACUAUCAUUGCGGCACCACCAAAUUGACCAACAUAAAGCACUUGUUCCAAUUAAUAUCAUAUUUUUCAUGGACCUAGGUACUCUUCUAAACCAUUUAGUGUUGAUAUUUCUUUACUAGGAAGUUAAUCCCAAGCAAUGUUGCUAGAAAUAUUAAAUGGUAAUAUAAUGGAUUACAUAAAUAAAUCUGCAAGCGCACGGAUAUACUGCUGUAGCGUUUCACCUAGAAGUACUUCCAAGUUAUCGUAUUUAUUUAAUCCCAAGGGAAGAUAUGGUAAGAGAGUGAUGUGCUAUAAAUUCAUAUUACACUUAUGCAAAUCAAAGUCUUACGCAUGGGUUUAUCAAUUGAGGAUAAGGAUAGAUUUGACACAUAGAAGGUUCAGUUUAGAAUACUCUCACUAAAUUAUAAGUCUAGGCUAAGUAGAGAAGAAAUAAGAAAAGCAUCAUUUAUGUACUUCUAGUAUAUAGUCCUUUUGCGAUACACUUGCUAUUGUACAACUAUGUGGUACAUCGAGAAACCACCCCUAAUUGCCGAGUACCUUACGACAAUCCGUCAUGACUAUCCAACCAGUUUUACAUACGGAGGAGUACACGAACAGGAACCUUUCUUAGCCCUAUAUACGCACGUGGAGGAUUACUCGUACUGAACUGUCAGCAUCAGCGGCCUACCUCUAUAGAUCCAUGGCAUAUAGCACCACUUAAUGAUACUUAAUAAUCUAAGCACCAUGCUUACAUUAGUAAAUACUACUCUACACCUCUGCAGAUGACAUAGAACAAUCAAAUAAGUGAACACUAUGCCAAUACCGUUGCAUAUCUCUGGCAAGCUAACCAUAUAAUUAAUACGAGAUAAGUGUAAACCAAAUUAAGUUGGUACUUGAAUAAUUAUGCAAAUAUAGAAAAGGACCUAUAAAGAAGAAUAUUUCAUUACUGGAUAAAGUCUUACAAAAAAGGGAAGAGCUACUAGAACCAUACCCAAAUUCUCCGUAAAACUUGAAGAACUAAGGAAGACCAUUCUAAUUCUAAAUCCACUAGCACUAGAGCGAAAUAUGUAAACUAAAGAGAGCUUCUUCACUUGAUUUCCUUCAUGGUGUUUGUUGGAAUGGAGGAUGAGAAGUCCUUUUAUAGCUUCAGAAUGACGGUUGUGGGCGUUAAUUUCAGUACAACCACCCUUGGGAAGUCGGUUACAACCGUCAUUGGUAGGGAUGGAAAUUUCCCCCACGGGCCGGAGGCGGGUUCCGUUUCUGACCUGUGGGGGAAGCGGGGCCGGGGCCCCGCAUUUUUGUGGGGAGGGGCCAGGGGAGACAGUUCACCCAUGGGUGACCUGCGAGGCCCCAAGGGUGUAUAUUAACCCUUAAAAUGUAGCCCAUAGAAUGCCCAAAAGGGCCCAACCCAAAAGAAUAGUGAGGGAUAAAAACAAACCCUAGCCUUAUCCUCUCCAGUGUCUCCCCAUCUCGGCAUCUCCCCUCCCGACUCCCGUCCGCAUCACCCACCAUCUAGGCGGAGGCGGUGCCAGGAUGCACGGCGCACUUCUCUAGAUCACGUCGUCGCCGGUCACCCUCUCCCCUCCCCUAUGGGCUCCGGCCUCUCGUGUUCCAUCUCUCCAGUACCCCUCUCCGGCUCUCCCUCAUGUCUGCCGAUGAGGCGAGAAUGUAGAGGCGCACAGGCGCUGCGCGGCGAGGGUGCGGUCAAGCAGCGAGGGUGCAGCGGCUGGCGAGGGUUUGGCGCACAGGCGCGGCAUCCUAUGAAGGGAUAGAUGUGGCGUCCGGCUGCCCGUGGCGGCCUCGAGGGGACAGGAGCGGGGCCGGUGAGGGGACAGGCACGACGGCCUGCUUCACGCACUGACAGUGAGAGUCUGAGAGGUAUAACACUAUUUCUCGAUCUAUAUUUCUGUGUAUAUUUAUAUGUUGUUUCAUAUAUUUGGUAGUUUUACAUUCCGAUGAUAGAGAACAUUAGAACAAGAUUUGCUGAUUUGUUGGAGUUGCUACUCACUGUGGGGCCCCGCAGGGGCCGAGGGCAGGGAUUGAUUUGCACCCGCAUGUCUACUCGGGGCUGGGGCCGGGUGGAGAGUUUGGGGGUCGGGGUCGGGGCCGUUCCAGCCCAACCCGCCCCCGCCCCGCCCCAUUGCCAUCCCUAGUCAUUGGCUUGGGCCUGGGCCAGCAGAGCCAGGCCGGUGUUGGCUGAACCUUAGCAGACUUCCCUAGCCCAGUGCUUCCUCCUGGGCAUUGUUUGAUGGAUCCUCAGCCCAGUGGCUUGGUGGUUGGGCCCAGUUGCAGAAGUUUCAAUGGGGUUGUGGGCCCAUCGAUCCAUAUGUCAACCAUAUGUCGGUCUCUGAUUGAUUUAAAGGUGAUUUUCCAUCAUUUCUCCUCCAUUUAUGGUGUGAUCUCCUGUAUUCAAAUACUUUGCUAAGUACAAGUGGAACUAAAUUAUUUUUAAAUAAAUAUGCAUGCAAGCAUUGCUAGUUCCCCAUUAUUUUAGGAUGUAUUGAUGGUUGAAAUUGGUCUACAAUGACCGUAAACGAUUACCAAAAAUAUUUAUGGCAUUACGAGGUGGGGGACAUUAAAAGCAAAGAACACAUGUCUCCAAAGAAAACAAGGAACAAGACACCCAAAGAAAAGAUGUUGGAUUGUCUCUGGUGCAUAAUGGAAAGAAACAAUAGUGUUUGUCUACCCCCAGUGUUUUUAGCCAGUUUAUCCUUUGUUAGGAUUACUUUGUUAUUAAGGAACCACAUUAGUUUUAAUAUACCUUUAAAUCUCAUAUAAUCCACUUGCCAAUCCUAACACUAGAGUUCAUGGUUGCGAUAUACAUAGAGCUAACUAAAAAUUGUCCAUUUUUCAGAAUUGACCAUUCAAAGUAAUCCUUGUUUUGCAGGGUUACGCGUGUAUCUCUAGUCGGAUAUGUAGGUUGUUUGUGUAUCAGCUAGUACCCGUAUUCUUCAUAAGAGGGUAGACCAAAUUUAUUCUAUUGAAAUUACGCAGCGAAAAUUGCUUUUUUUUUCAUCUCCUAGGUGUCGUGCAGCCGCUCCUAAAUUAGAGAGAGGAACUCUGAAUUUCUGCCAUAGAUUGUUCUUGCAUUUCCUUGUUAUGCCAUAGAUUGGGAAUUUCUUGCAUUUCCUUGCAAGGAAUUGAGGGGGGCAAUAGAUCCACUUGUUUGUGUGGUCGAGUGGAUCAACCUAUCAUAGCGUGUGGUUUCACGAAUUUUUUAUUGAAAGGAAUGCAGCAGAGGAGGCCCCCACUGUUAAAAAACUUUUAUUGAUAAAGGAAGAAAGAGAAAAAUUACAACAAACUGCUCCAGUUUAGGAUUACAUCCUUAUCUCUUUCACUUAUUCUAAACAGCAAAAGGAGGAGAUCACCCUUGAAGAUUUGUCUCCAUGAAGACAGGGAAGGAGUUUUUUGUUCAAAAAUGAAACCAUUCCUCUGCUUCCAGAUAUUCCAAGCACCAUACAAGAAUUUUUCCAUGAAGCACCGACCCUGAUAGAGAGUGUUUGCCUGAACCAUCAUACUAUCCAUGCUCAGUGAAGUAUCCCAGGAGAAACCAAGAGCAUUCCAACAGUUCUUUGCAAAGGAGCAUUGAAAGAAGAGAUGAAGCAGGUCCUCCAUAGAGUUAACUGAGUAAAGCACACAACUUAAGUCACAAUGAGGUGGAGCACAAUGAUUAUGGUCCAAUACAUUAAACCGAGAUUUGGGACCUAUAUGUUCAUUUUACAUGUUUAUAAACCUAGAUGACACCCUGGUCCAAGUUUAAGGACUGACGACGUUUAUUCAAUUCUGGAGGUGGCAUCGGAUUUAAUUAAUUUGAUACAUUUUAUCGUUUAUAGUAGGAUGGAUAGCUACAAUGUGAUAAAUAGUAUAAAUUAAUUUCGAAAAUAUGUUCGAUUUGGCAUCAGAUAUGAUACUAUCUAGAACAUAUCUUAACCAAACAUGUAUAACUCAUCACAUUAAAUGCAUAUUAUAUUAAACAUUAGCUGUCCAAUACGCCUUGUGGGUUGUCCCUCAAAGGUAUACAAACACACUAUUUACUAAAAACCGCAGCUAUUAAUAUGCAGCUAAACAUCCUGUUCUACAUAUACACAAGCUAGUGCAAAGUUGAGAGAGGUAUAGAAACAGAGGGAGGGAGCAGAGGAGGGUGAGAGAGAGAGAGAGAGAGAGAGAGAGAGAGAGAGAGAGAGAGGGCGAGGGAGGGAGGUAGAGGGGAGAGAGUUCUUUGAUCUUGGUUUAACCAUGGGCAAGUCACCAUCUGUCGGGAUCUUAGACGACGAUGAUCGUGAUGAAGUCAAAUCUUCUGAGGAAGCAACAAAGAAUUUGCAAAGUGACGACGAUGAUGUGGAUGGCCGACCAGGUUGGCUUCCAGAUGGCUGGAUAAUGGAGGUCUAUUGUGAUGAUGAUGGCACCAUCUACCGGGUAUUAAAAUAUGUAGAUGGCAAUCUAUUUCUUUCGUGGAACUUAAAUUUUAUUGUUUGUUCUAAAAGAUUUUUGUUGCAAUGCUAAUUUUGUUUGCUUUUGUACAGUAUUACAUAUGUCCCUUGUCCGGAACCACUUUCACAACGAAGUCAGAGGUUUUGGAUUAUCUAUUCUCAGAGAUGGAUCAGUGUUUCUUGGAAUCAAAGAACCAUGCUGUAGGCAGUAACCUUACGGUGAGUUAUAUAUAUGACCAUAUCAUUCAAGAUUUUAGUUGGUGUUUAGAAUUAGUACGUCUGAGUUCUACCAUGAUUUAUGCAGAGGACACAUGAAUGGCUUCCAAAGGGCUGGCUGGUUGAGAUUAGAGCUGGUGGAGACAACAUGGACAAGAUGUACAAGGUAGCUUUUGAUUGUAUUCUAUAUUAACUCUAUACUAAUUCGUCUAUGUCCACUAGUAGUACUCUAAUGAGACAAUUUAUCAUGAAAGCUUCAACUGUUGAAUGCAACGGUGCUAGGAAAUUAAAAACAAAAUGACAAAACUAUUUUUGCAAAUGUCCCCCUUGUAUUGCUCAAGUGGUCCAUAAGUUAAAUCAUAUGUGCAAUACGCCAGUAGGGUGUAGUUCACAGACCGCCUCUGUACAGACAAGCUCGAUGGUAAAAUGACAUUCAAACUAGGACCUACCUUUUUACAAAUUAUAAAAUUGUUUAUUUUAGUAUGUUGUAACAAAGCAAAAGAUUAAUUUCAUAGUCACUACAAUACAGGGUGCCCCAUUCGUUGAACCAACAUAGUUCAUUGGUUAGCGAUGAGAGCUUGCCAUCUUUAACUGUUGGUUACGAAUUUAGUUAUAAAGUCACUUAUAACAGUUGAACUGUGGCAUAUGAGUGUAUCACCACCAACUGAUAUUACUCUGAUUUUAUGAAUCAUUACUGAUGAGGGUGAUCAAUGAAAAUAUACUGCAAAACAUGUGCACAUGUAGGGUUUUCUCACCAUCAUUGCCAUGUUGGCUGCUCAUCUGGAACAAUAUUGUUGGAAGAGAGCUUGAGGCUGUUCCCCCAAGUGAGUGAAUAUGAUCAUGUUUUUUCCUGUUUCGCAGUUCUAUGUGUACCCACCAAAUAGAGUUCGACUAUUCUCAAAGGAUGAUGUACUAAUUUACAUUAAAGAAAUGAAGAUUUCUGGAUUUGAUACAGAUGGACAAUGCAACACAAAUACUCAAGAGAAUGUAUGUUUCUUGUUGGAACCAUUACACUUAUUUGAGUAACAAUUACUCCUUCCGUCUUAAAGUGUAUCAACAUAGUAUAGUUUUAGACAUCCUCUAGUACUAUGAAUCUAGUCAUGCAGUCUGUCCAGAUUUAUAGUACUAGGAUUUGCCUAAUUAAGUACUAAGUUGAUAUAUCUUGGGAUAAAGGGAGUGUCUAUUAGAUGAUUUCUCACUUUGCAGAACUAAUGUUUGGGUAGUUUCAUGAAUGACAUUAUCAUUGAUUGAUUUGUAGAUUCUUGCAAUUCUGGAAUUUAACCCUGAAGGGCUGCCACAAGGAUGGGUGAAAGAAGUGGUCUUUAGAAAAACAAAUACCGGCAAAAUUAGAAGAGACCGCGUAUGUGAUUGCAGUUAAUCAUUAUUAUUCACUUUGAAUGUACAUGGGUUUUUCACAUUGUCUUUUGCAGCACUACACCGAUCCCAUUAAAAAUUAUGUAUUCCAUACCAAGAGGUCAGCCGCUCUCUACGUGGAAACAGGGAAAGUAACAAUACGUGCCUUUGUUCAAAAGACAAGUGUCCAUGAGAUGUACUCUUUUGAAAAGUUCACACAUUUGGUAAUUGUUCCUCAAAAUUUCUGGCACUUCAUGCUUGUUUUACUUUCGAUAAAACAAAUCACACAAUUGAGUGUAGUUAUAUCGAACAAUCAUGUUCAUAUCUGUAGAUAUUCUGAAAAAUGUAUUAGUUCUAACCCAUCUACUUUAAAAAGGUAUAUCUAGGACACAAACCUAACUAUAGUUGCUCUCUAUAAUGAUGUUACUACCAAUACUCCCAAUAAAAUCCUUCUACAAUAUGCUGCAUCCACGUGCUAUUACAAUAUGCUUUACAAUAUGUUUCACAUGGCAGCAUGAAAGCUUAUGGAAAAGACUAGAGUUAGGUGGGACAAACCAGCUGCGCACAAGAUUGUCGAAACUCCGAAAACUAUCACUGAAAGAAGAGAUACUUAGUGACGAGCAAGGUUCAACUAGCGGUAAGUUAGUUCCCGAGGAACAAAAGUUCAUGAGGUUUCUUGUGUAAAAUCAGUUUCUAGGCAUAUUUAGUUCUCAUAAUGCUUUCUUCAGGUUGUGCUAUCCAGUACAAUUUUACCACAAUAAUAUGCUUCAAACUCUAUGUUAUAAAAUACGAUAAUAAUUAAUAUAGCCCCAAAAUAAGACAGAUUGAUCCUAGCUAGAAGACCAAUAUCUUUUUGGGGGAUAAUUUUGCUAUAAGCUCUACUAACUGGUUAAAUAGUGCACCUAAGAAGCAAAUCCAUAUGACCCCAAUUACACCAUUAGUUUAUUUAACUUUGACAUCCUAACUUCCAUGCAAUUUAACUCGACAUUUUGGCUAAUAUUUUCAAUUUUUCUUACAAAGUAGUACUAUUAAGAUUAGGUCCAAUUUUUUUACAAUUAGAUCUAGCAUUCCAUGUUUUUACAAAAAAGGAGAGUCAUGGGGGUGAGAUGGUUGCCUGUACCAUCGUACUAAAAUAAUUUAAAAAUUGUCAUGUAACAUUAGUUUCUCAAUCUUUUGACUUCCUUAAGCAUUGUGCAAAGUAAAAAUACAUUAUAUAUUUUACCUCCUUAAUCAUCAUGCAAAAUCACAGUGAUUAGAAGCUGUGGCAGAAAUAAAAGGAGGCAGUGACAAGUUAUCUAUAGACAUGGUCACAUGGUUUUUGUUUGCUAUGACUUGUACUGGUGGCUUUGAGACACCACUUUCUUUCUUUUUCUGAAGCAUGGGUUUAUUUAGAGUUUUACUGUUUGCACCCUUAGAAAUAAUUGAUAUUCUAUUUUACAAAAGAAAAUGAGACUCACACAUCUGGAGAGCUCGAUCGGCGAUAAGGUAGUGCUAUAGUAAAUGAUCCCUCUCGGCCCUCUUCCCCCAUCGAUUCUAGCGGCUCACUGCUGAUAACAGCUAGAAUGGGUUUGGGUGCCCUUAGCUUCAGGUUUAGCGUUGUCAGGUUUCCUUUGUUGGGCAACUUGUAUUAUUUUUGAUCUGCUGGUGUCAUCUCCAUGGUGUGGAGGCGUGGAACUGCUGCUGGUGGUGGUCUGGCAGCUGUGGCUUGGAGGGGGGGGGGGUCUCUUUGGUGGCAGUGCUGGUGGUGGCGCGGACGGCAGCCGUUACUGGUAAAAAAGCUAGAUCUGCUAGCUCGUGCUGCUAUAGGCCUAGAUUUGCGGUCUUUGCUCAGUCGACUACUUUGGUCUCCCCGUCCCAUUCUUUGGUCUCCACUCCACCUUGUUCUCCCCUUUCUCCACUCCUCAACGUGGUGCUUGCCCGGUGCGGCUUGUUUAGUAAGAUUGUGGUUUGGUUGCUGGACAACCCCCUUGUCUGGUGGCUUGCUCAGUGGCAGUGGCCAUUGUUCACGAGGUAGCGAGUCUAGAGAAGUGAGUGUUGUUCCUCGUUGUGUCGGUUGUCUACUGUGACCAUUCAAGCAAAGUUGGCUCUUGUCUUUGCUUUGCUGGCUGGUUUGGCAACAACGAUCUACGGUCAUGGGGUAGCAUGUGUGAAGCAGAUGUGUAGCACUCCCAGGUCACCCGUUCGUCUAACUACUCUGCUAUAUUCAGGCUAGCAAUCCAUGUUGUCGGUGUAGUAAGGCAGACGUUUACUAACCACCAUCCUAAGCUUUGUUCAUUAAGGUUGGCUGGACUUCAAAGAUUUCUCUUACUUCCGUUGAUUGCAGCAGUAUCUGUGUUCGGUCCUCCAUUCAGGCUGAACGUAGUCUGCCCAUGCGGCAUUUGUCGUUAGCUUCGCAGUUAGUGCUGCUCAGAUUUAUCGGGGAACUCCGCAGUAAUCUGUUGUCGAGUCUGGUGAAGCCUACUCAAAAUCUAAGACUUAAGAGAAAAACCUCAAGUUGUGCCGCUCCAGUGGAGGCCGCCAAAGGGAAUGCCGUUGCCCCUUAUCGAUCUCAUCCUUUUCUGCUGCUAUAUGUUUUCAGUUGCAGUGUUGUUAUCGGUAGUUCAUUCACCCUUUCAUGUCAAAAGGAUGGUUGUGCUCUAUAUGAUGCUUUGCUUCAGGCGAUGUACCAGGGAUUUAUUCCCUUCACUCUUUCUUUAAUAAAUUUCCUAUGUUUCCAGAAAAAAAUUAUGAUAUGUUGCCUCUCCCACCUUUGGCUAUUCCUGAUAUUGUUUUAUUUCUUUCCAUAGCCGAAGAUUGCAACUCUGACAAUUCAGACACAGCACAUGGGGCAGGACAAAACAAGGUCAGUCACUUGGCCUCAACCACUGUCAAGCGUCCUAGAGGGAGGCCCCCAAAACAAGGAAAUGCAAGAAAGUGAACAAGUUGCAUUGCAAAAAGCAAGUACCACUAUGAGACCAAAGUGGCCAAAUGGGAGGGUGCCAAAAAUCAUAACUAGCUCAAACCGAAGAAAUCAUCAAAGGAACUAUUUUGUGUCUUUACAAAACAUUUCCAUUAAAUGGUGAACUGAUUAAUCAUUCUCCAUGAAAAAAAUUGUGGCAGACGUAUUUUGAUCUAGCUAAUACUAUGAUGAUUCUCGUGACCCAAAAAGUUUGAUGGUUAAUGUAUGCUUGUUUUAUUCUGCUGUCAAAAUUAUCAAUAUCUAUUUUUUUGUACUGGAAUUGACAAUGUUGGUUAAUUUAUACUUGUGGCAUAAAGAUUAUUUUUGAAAAUCAGACAUCAUGAUGGCUUCGUAGAUCCUAGAAUCAGACAACGGGUAUGUAGUCAUCUUCCUUUAGUCUAGGACCUCUGCAUGGUUUAGAAUAAAAUAAUUGGAUGGCUUGCAAGAAUUCGGAGAAGACGGUGGUAGUGACCUUAAUUGGACAUUUUUUACUAUUGACGCGUGGGAUUGGAAAAAUGGUACCAACCUAUUAGGUUUCACUCAAAAUUCACAAAUGUCUUAAAAAACAGCUGGGAAUGGGGAUAGAUUCGGAGAAAGGAAGACAGCCACCAGCUAGAUUAAUUGUCAUUUCACCCGUGCAUUUAUGGGUGUGAUUGGUUGCUCGUAUCCCUUUAGCCUGGCACAUCUCCCUCAUCUAGGCUAAACCUAGCCUAAAUUGGAGAGACACAUGCAAGUGUUGGUUUCUUGUAUCAGGCUAGCCUGACUAGCAUGAGGUCAUGUUUGGUUGCUGUCACAUCCUGAUUUUCGUUUCAGGAUUUAUAAAUUAUUUAAUAAAUUAUUCUUAGAAUUUAUAUUAAAUGUUCAUUAAUAUAAAGUAAAAUGUGGUAAAUAAAAUUUCAUAAAUAUAAAGUAUGGCUGGAUUUAAGUCUUAUUAAAUUUUCCAUGAUUAAUUACACUCUCUGGAAUUUUCUCAGAUUUUUCAUAGCUUAAUUCCUAAUUUUAAUAAUACGAAGAACAUUUCAGUAAUUAUUAACAUAAUAAAUUAAUCAUUAAAGGAUCUGGAUAUAGUUUUGCUAAACACUUAGAGUGUCCAAGUAUUUUUCAGGAUUCUUCUUGAAAUUAUUUGAGCAUUGGAAAUAUUUUUAACAAUUCAAAGAUCAUUUCAAUGAUUAAUUUAAAUUGGAAAAGUAAUUAAAAUCCCCUUUUCCUUUUCGGGUUGAAACUGGAAAAAGUCAUUUUUCCCUCAUUAGCCCAUCCUUCCUCUGUGCCCUCUUCUCCAUUCUCGGAGAAAGCUUAUUUCUUGUCCCUUCUUUUCUUUUAGCCCCGACAGAAGUCUACUUUGCUCCCCUGUUGCUACAGUGUUGUCUUCAACCUUCAGCCGUUUCUCUCACGUGCCCGCUCACAGUAGCGCUGCAUCCUCCACCAAAUCCGGCCAUGCCGUUGCUCCCAAUCUAAAAUUGAUCGCGGAAAUAGAACCCUCUCAAUCUCCUCUACCUUUUCCCCAAGAAAGACCCCAUCAAAUUCGUGCUUAAUCCCAUGAAUUUCGGUCCCGUUCUUAUCCUAACAAAUCGGGAUAAACCCUAAUUUUCGGCCACCAAAUCCCACCACAUCCGUAUCGAUCUCUACCUCCUCCGCCUAUAUAAAGGAUGCACUGGGUCUCCCCUUCGCUUUCCCCUCCUUUCCCCGAGCUCCCAUGCCCAAGCCACUCUUCCCCGCGAGCUCCAUCUCUCUCCGCCGCUGCCGCCAACCCCAGCCGCAACGUGCUGUCAUGUCACGCUAGUCGCUAGAUACUCUGACGGACACAUUGGCGGUGACAACAGAAGAGCAACAGGGGAAGGCGUAAAGUGUAAAGGCGUGAUACGAAAGAGAAAGCGUACUUUGUAAAAGGAGUAGGUGUGAGUGCCAUGUUGUGUGUGGGGCCAGUGUUAGCUGGCGUGUGAGGGGAUAAAUUCUCCAUGAGUUGUACUGAGAAGAUUAUGAAAAUAGAAAUGGAAAAACUAAUCCCACCUACUCUGUAUCCUUCUCCUUCCUCUGUUCUUCCUCUGCUAUUCCCCCAACUCCGGCGAGCUCCGUCGCCGUGAUUAGGGCCAUGCCAAGUUGGUAUCAGUCGCUUUUCGAUCCCGGGCUAUCUCUCGCACUCUCUCGACUCUUGAUCAGUAAAUCCGGUGUUUCGUUCGUGGUCUUCCUUCAGGUUGAUUUGCGGUAAAUCAAGGCUAGGUUGAUCGGGUUUGGAGAAGACGACGACACGGCGCCAGCCAAACCAAGUUUGCAGGUUCGGCAGACGAUCGCAGCGAUGAAAUCCAUGGAGGAGCGCUUGUUGGAUGCCAUGAAUGCAAUGGCUGCCAAGGACGACAUCGCCACGCACUUGAUGUAGAUUGACCUCAAACUCGAGCAGCAGGGCGAGCGGUUGGGUCGGGUAAAAACCAAGGUGGAUCUCUCCUUGACCUCCCUUGACCAGGUGCAGCAAGAGCAAACUUGGGUCUAACGGGCUCUGAAGGCGGUCAUUGUGGCACCAUCACCACCGCCACCGUUGCCGCCGGAAACACCACAUCAAGCGCCGUUGUUGUCGACUCCUUAUUCGGGUUCCGUGGCUUCAACCUCGUCUGAACCACAACCACCACCACCUCCUCCAUUGGGUACCUUCACCUCAUUACUCUCCGGGUGAUUGUGAGCAUUGUGACAUGGGUCAUCGUCAGUGGACUCCUAAAAUGGAUUUUCCGAAGUUUGAUGGAAAUGGGGUUAAGGUGUGGAUUGAUAAUUGUGAGACUUAUUUUGCUUUCUAUCAAAUCACGGAAGCAUUUCUAGUUUCAGCAACAUCUAUGAAUCUCAUGGGUGAUGCCGCAAAUUGGUAUCAGACAUGGAAGUUAGAAGUGGGUUGGCAUGAUUGGGAGAUGUUGAAAACUGCUAUUUCUAGGGAAUUUGAUGUGCACCUUUGGUCUGUGAAAAUGGAUGAGUUACUGUUACUCAAACAAACUAGCACAGUGAUAGAAUAUUGUUCAAAAUUCAGUGAACUUGUUUAUCAGAUUCGUCUCUAUGACCCGCUCUUGUGUGGUUCUGUUUUGGUUUCUCACUUUAUGUUGGGACUGAAGGAUGACUUGAGGUCUUUCGUUCAGGCAGCUCAGCCUACUACUGUUACCCAGGAUUGUCUUGUUGCUUUGGCUCAGGAGGGUGCUCAUAUUGGACAACCAAGGAAGAGGUUUAAUCAAUGCCGAGAUAAUGCUGUUGGUAGAGGCAAUGAGAAACCUAAGUUGGCUCGUGGUGAGUUGUGGAAAGCACAGCAGCUGAAGGAAUAUAGAAGGGCUCAGGGUCUGUGUUUCAAAUGUGGUGAUAAGUAUGUUUCUGGUCAAGUCUGUGUCAAACAAGAGGCUGAGUUAAAGUUGCUGUGCAGGAAGAGCCAGUGAUCUUGUUUGAUGAUAUUUUGGAUGCUGUCACUGCUCCUGAAUUGGUAGAAGAGGAUUUUAAUCUCUCCUUGCAUGCUCUAGCUGGUACCUGUUCUUCGGCUACUGUUCAGCUGAGAGCGCUGGUGGGUAAUCAGGUUAUUCUGAUUUUUGUGGAUUCUGGGAGUUCCCACAGCUUUGUGAAUUCUGAUUUGUGUGCCAAGUUACAGCUUCCUACUACUGCAACUCUACCUAUUUCAGUUAAAGUGGCCAAUGGAGAGGUACUGUCUUGUGAUGCCAAGAUUCCCCAAUUUACUUGGUGGGUGCAGGGAUAUCAUUUCUCUUUUACUAUGCGUCUUCUACCCAUGGGAUGAUAUGAUGUGGUGCUAGGCAUGGAUUGGUUAACACAAUAUAGUCCUAUGACCUGUGACUAGGCUGCAAAGACAAUUCAGUUUUCCUAUCAGGGGGCUGAAAUUAUUUUGCAAGGAGUUGCCUCUCCUAUUGUAAUUGAAGUAACUGAAGUCUCAGCAACUCAGGUGGUUAAAUGGGAUCAGGGUAAUGAUAUAUGGGCUAUGGCUAUGCUUGAACCUGUUGCUGCACUGUCUAGUUCUUCUUCUGAAUAUCCUGCUAUACAGCAGCUACUGCAGCAGUAUAGUACCCUGCCCCCUGAUAGGGUGCUGAAUCAUUCAAUUACCUUGUUACCUAAUUCUGUGCCAGUUAAUUCAUGACCUUACAGAUAUUCUCCUGCUCAGAAAGGUGAGAUUGAGAAACAAGUUUUCGAAAUGUUGACCGCUGGACUCAUUACUCCCAGUUGUAGCCCUUUUGCAUCUCCUGUGUCGCUGGUUAAAAAGAAGGACAACAGCUGGAGAUUUUGUGUGGAAUACCGCAGGUUGAGUUCUUUAACAAUUAAGAACAAAUUCCUUUGCCCAUAGCGGAGGAACUUUUGGAUGAGCUAGCUAGUACUAAGUUUUUCUCCAAACUUGAUCUUAAAAGUGGAUAUCACCAGAUUAGAAAGUUGGAGGCUGAUGAGUAUAAAACUGCUUUCAAAACCCAUCAUGGUCAUGUCCAAUUCAGGGUGAUGCCAUUUGGGUUAACUAAUGCCCCUGCAACCUUUCAGUGUCUCAUGAAUUCUAUCUUUGCUCCCUUCUUGAGAAAAUUUGUUUUAGUGUUCAUGGAUGACAUAUUGAUAUGCAACAAAUCUUUGGAGGAGCAUGGUCACCACUUAGAGCUGGUGUUGUAGUUGUUACCAGGGAUGAAAACAGUAGCGGUAAUUACCGGCCGACCGGGCUACCUUUUUCGAAUUUGACCAAUCGGACGUUCCGGAAACGGUAAAUAUCGUAAUCGAAAACGGAAACGGUAAAAAAUACGGAAACAAUAUCGGAAAUAGUUUGGUAAUUUACCAACCGUUUUGUGUGGUUACCGUAUUAUACCAGUAAUUACCGUUUAUAUAUUCCGGUAAAUUAUCCUUUUUAUAAACAUCUGGCCGGCUGGCCCCAGUUAUUUUUCUUUGGCCCAUUUUCUCAGCCCAAUAAUAACCCUAAAUCCCUAACCCUAGAGUUGGUCGGCUACUCCUGGCUCCCCAAUCCCCGCGUCGACGCGGCUAGGAGAGUCCAAAGUAGAUGGGAGAUCGAUAGCAAGGAGCAGCGGAAGGGGUUUUGAAACAGCUGACCAGGGACAGCGCUGUCGUCAUCAUUGUCAUCCCCGGCCACCGGCAUUCGUAGGCUGUCAGCGUCCCCGAAUCCACCCAGCAGCAACGGCAGGCGUGCAUGGGAAGAGGUGGAGCAGCCGGAGCAGGGGAAGAGGCGGAUCUGGAGCGCCGGCGGUGGAGACUCUGGAUCGGCGGUGGAGACGCGCUGGAUCGACUGGAGAGUGGAGAUAGCGAUGGGAACGAGAUAGGGUCAAUGGGGAUCCUCUUCCAUCAAUGGGAUGGGUGGAUAAAUAUCUCCUAUCAUCUUCUAUUUUAGCCCCUGGACUUUGUAAAUAUUACGAGAACUUCUUCAUUUAGUUGAUUUCUUCCAUAUAAACCCUAAGUUUCAUAUUUAUUUUCAUACUAGCCCUCAAUGAUCCUUCUACUUGAUCAAAUCAAUUUUCCUAUUUUGUAAUUAAUAAAUUUCAUAUAUUAGACGAGUCUCUGAAUCCUAAUUUUUUAUAGUUUUCCAAGUUGGACACCCAAGUUCGAGUUCUAGAUUGCUAGCUAAAUGUGCGAUGUUAUUGUUUGAUGUUUCCGACAGGAAUUAUCGGCUUCCGAUCGAUACCGACACAUUUCCGAUUGAAUAAUUCCAUUUUCGAUUUAGAUAUUUCCGAUAUCGUUUCCGCUACCGGCUUACCGUUAUCGAUUAUGUUUCCGAAAAAUAAUAUGGUUGCGGUAAUGGUUUAGGGUGUUCCCCGAUUGUUUCCGACUGUUUUCACCCCUAGUUGUUACAGCAGCAUCAGUUAUGUGCUAAGUUGUCCACGUGUUCAUUUGCCACUUCUCAAUUGGAAUACAUGGGCCACAUUAUCUUUGCUGAAGGUGUAGCCACAGAUCCUGAGAAAACUCAAGCUAUGGCUUCUUGGCCUAUUCCUACUAAUGUCACUCAACUAAGAUGGUUUUUUGUCUCACUGGGUAUUAUAGAAAGUUUGUGCAACACUAUGGCAUUUUGGCUAAACCUCUCACCAUGUUGCUUCAGAAGAACACUAAGUUUGUAUGGACUCCUCAAGCUCAGGAAGCUUUUGCAGCUCUAAAAACUGCUAUGUGUACUACACCUGUCCUUACUCUCCCUGACUUUUCCAAACCUUUUGUUCUGGAAAUCGAUGCUUGUGCUACUGGCAUUGGAGCUGUGCUAUCUCAAGAAGGGCAUCCUGUGGCUUUUACAGGAAAGCAUUGGGCAUUGCUAAUCAGAAAUUAUCAAUUUAUGAGAAGGAAUUUUUGGCUAUUAUAAUGGUUGUGGAUAAGUAAAGAUCUUAUUUACUCACUAGUCCUUUUGUUAUUAAAACUGAUCAUAAAGCCCUUUAUCAUUUGGAUGAUCAGAGUUUAGAUACUGACAGCACGCCGAACUAGUAAUGGGGGCGACUCGCAGUACAGAUUUGCAGAAGAAGGCCAUGACUAAACUGAUUGGUCUGCAGUACAAAUUUCAGUAUAAGAAGGGGGUGGAUAAUAAGUCUGCUGAUGCUUUCUCUAGAGUGGGGCAUCUUUUUCCUAUUUCAGUUGUUCAACCUGCUUGGGUUCAGGAGGUCCCUAAUUCAUAUGUGGUAGAUCUUUUUGCUAAAUAAUUAUUGCAAUAAUUGGCCAUUACCUCUCCUAAUUCUCAAGGUUUUACCUUGUCGCAUGGGUUGAUAAGGAAAGCUGAUAAAAUCUGGAUUGGAGUUAAUUCUGCUUUGCAGACCAAACUAAUUGCAGCCUUCCACUCUUUUGCAAUAGGACGUCACUGUGGGAUUCAAGCUACAUACCAGCGAGUGAAGAAAUUGUUUGUGUGGAAGGGUUUAAAGAAAUCCAUGGAAGAAUUUGUCUAGCAAUGUGCAGUGUGUCAGCAAGCUAAACAUGAGCACUGUUCUUAUCCUGGGUUGCUGCAACCAUUAACAAUUCCAUAUGGUGCAUGGCUAGAUAUCUCAAUGGACUUUGUGGAGGGUUUGCCCACUUCUAAGGGGAGCAGUGUUAUCUUGGUGGUGGUUGACAGAUACACUAAAUUUGCUCAUUUUCUGCCUCUUAAACAUCCCUUUUCAGCUUUGUAGGUGGCUGAGUUAUUUCUGAACAAUAUGGCUUCUCUCUAUGGUAUGCCCAAGUCCAUUGUUUCAGAUCGCGAUAAGGUGUUUACAAGUAAUUUCUGGGCAGACUUUGUUUAAGAGGUUUGAAGUGCCAUUACAUCUCUCUACUGCAUACCAUCCAUAGUCUGAUGGCCAUACCGAACGUGUUAAACAAUGCCUGUAGAUGUCUUUGAGGUGUGCGGUCUCCUCUUCCCCACAUUAGUGGUGUGCUUGGCUCCCUUUAGCACAGUUUUGGUAUAAUACAAAUUACCACUUUGCCUUACAAUGCUCUCCUUAAAAAUCACUGUUGGCACUGAUCCUUCGUAUGGUCUUCUUCCUGCCAUGUAGGGGCGGAUCUACAGUACUAAGGCCAGUGUCACGUGACACCGACGACUUUCGGCAAAAUCUAUAGCAAAACUACUUAUCUAUAUGUUAUAACACUAUGAUCUAAGCAUAAUUAGCAUACUAUGACAUUGAUAGACAUGUUACGAUACCAACUAAUCGAUUUUCUGGAUCCGCCACUGCUGCCAUGUCAGUUAAUGCCUUUGCAUCUACUGACUCUGAUUCUCCUGUAGCUGAUGCUUUGCUCAGAGAACGUGCUAUGUUUUCUUCUUUGCUGAAGCAUCAUCUCACCUGUGCUCAAAAUAGGAUGAAAAAAACAGCUGAUCUGAAGCGUACUCGUCGCUCAUUUCAGAUUGGUGAUCUGGUUCUCCUGAAACUUCAACCGUAUGCCCAGAAGUCUGUUGUUUCUCAACCUUUUCCUAAGCUGGUGUUUAAGUACUUUGGUCCUUUCCCAAUUGUGGAUAAGAUUGGUUCUGUGGCAUAUCGAUUGCAACUUCCUGAUCACAGUGGGUUUCAUCCAGUGUUCCAUGAGUAGCAGCUCAAACAAUUUGUCCCUGAUGCCAAGCCUGUCUUUUCUUCGUUGCCCUCUCCAUUGCAGCUGGACAUUACUGAAUUGGUUCCCUCUGCAAUUUUGGAUCACCGUAUGUUCAAAAAAAGGUAAUGCCUUGGUGGUUCAAGAGCUUGUUCGUUGGGGCUCUCUGGCACCAGAGUGGGCUACAUGGGAAGAUUAUGAAGUGGUCCGUGCCAGGUUUCCUGAGCCAAUCGCUUGGGGACAAGCUCCUGCUCGGAGGGGGAAGGGGGGGGGGGGGGGCAAAUGUCACGCCAGACACUCUGAUGGACACAACGGCGGCGACAACAGAAGAGGAACAGGGGAAGGCGUAAAGUGUAAAGGCGCGAUACGGAAGAGAAAGCGUACUUUGUAAAAGGAGUAGGUGUGAGUGCCAUGUGAUGUGUGGGGCCAGUGUUAGCUGGCAUAUGAGGGGAUAAAUUCUCCAAGAGCUGUACUAAGAAGAUUAUGAAAAUAGAAACGGAAAAACUAAUCCCACCUAUAUCAGAUCGAGCUAAUAUGUUAGAUCUCGUCAACUCUUGGUCAAGAUUAAUCGCAGCCGUCCAAAAUCAAUAUAAAUCCUUUUCUCUCUUUUCAAUGGCAUAUUAGUCCUUUUUACUAUAUGUCAUCUACCAAAUAUGAUAUAAUCUUUUCCGGAGGUUGCUUUUAAUCUUUUAUCUCAAUUAUAAAUUAUUUGUAAAUUUUUUAAUUAAUUUGAAUAGUCUUUUCUUUAAUAGGUUCAAUUGAAUUAAAUCUUGUAAAAUUUGUAACUAAUUCAUAUUGAAUUAAAGUCCGAAUGAGGCCGUUCAACGCUCUAAAUUAAUCUAAAAUCAUGAUCUACAUGUUUGUUUACUUUGUAUGUACUGUUUGUUUGGAGUUUCUUAGUCUUUUUCCUCGUUUUGCGUGUUAGCUGUCAUUUCCAUCGUUUCGGAGGUUCGUGAGAGUGUCGGAAGUGUUCCAGAAGAUUAAUUGAAGUCCGAUUAUUGCAAGGCAAGUCACACAGAUCCCAAACACAAUUCUUUUGAUCAUUUUGAUCCGAUAUUUGAAUUCUCUAUUUAUUUCAAAUAUGCAUUUAUUUUCAAAUGACAUCGGGUGGUGAGCCUUUUCCCUAUAUUAUGGCCGAAGAUGACUUUUGUGGGUUACAUGGUACCCAGGUAUCAAGGAGAGGCCUUUGGGCCAUGGGGCAUAGGGUGGGCCAGCAGCCUAGGCUCACGUGUCUAUCUUGUAAAUAAAGAAAAAGACAUUUCCGAGAUAAGAUAUAAACUUCGGCGAUCAUGCAUAUCUUUUAUAGAUUGAAUAGAGAUCUAGUAGAUACUUUCCUUGUAACCCUCCCCCUUGUUGGUAUUUCUUAUGACCACAGAUAAAUCUGCAAGCGCACGGAAUACCGCUAUAGCACUUCACCUUCGGGUGACCCCAAAAGGAUAUCGAACUCAGGGAACGUGUGUAGACUACCUAAGGCUAAGACUAUCCAAGGACAAUAGCUGAUGAUAGGUAGGCUAGGCUAGAGAGGACUUUUUAUGUGUUUUAAUUAUCUACGCUAAUGUCACAUCCUGAUUUUUGUUUCAGGAUUUAUAAAUUAUUUAAUAAAUUAUUAUUAGAAUUUAUAUUAAAUGAUCUUUAAUUUACAAGUGAAGUUAAAUGUGGGAAAUAAAAUUUCCCAAAUAUAAAGCAUGGAUGGAUUUAAUUUUUAUUAAAUUCUCCAUGAUUAAGUCAACUCUCUGAAAUUUUCUCGGAUUUUUCAGAGCUCAAUUCCUAAAUGAUACAAAGAAUAGUUCAGUAAUUAUUUGAUCAAUAAUGAUCUAAUUAUAAUUGUUAAGAGCUUUUCUUGUUUAAAAAUCCUUAAAUUAUAAAUUGUUGUUUAAAAGGAAUAAUUAGAAAUGAUCUUAAAAGAGAAGAUCUAAUUUUAAUUUGUUAAAUCUCAAUAUAAAAUUGGGCUAGAUAAAAUUUUGUUAAAUACUUUACUUGAUUCUAUAGUUCCUAGAUUUUUCUGAGAUUUAUUUGAGCCAAGGAAGUAUUUUUAAUCAAUGGAAUUGCAUUUCAUGAAUAAUUUAAAUAGAAAAAUGUUUUUAAAUCCUCCUUUUGGCUUUGGGCCCAAAGCCGGCCCAAAACCUUCUCUCUCUCUCCCCGGCCCAAGUCGGCCCAGUCCGCAACCAAGCCGCCGCUCUCCUCUCUCUCUCGCUGUCGCUGACAGGUGGGCCCCACCUGUCAGGCCCGUCUUCCUCCUCGCGCCGCUGCCGGCCGAAACCCUAGCCGCCGCCGCUUUCCAAUCCGGUCGAUCCUUUCCGUUUUCGGUGAAAUCGUUUGAGGGGAAAUAAUCUCCUCGAUCUCCUCUUCCUUUUCUCUUAUAGAAACUUCGGUCAAUUUCGUUUGGAAAUCGACGGAUUUGAGCUCGAUUCGGAUCGACUUUUCUCCCUCCAACCCUAGCUUUCCAUCUCGCCGCCGGUCGCCGUGGGCCUCCGUCGCCACUCGCUAGCCCCUUUAAAAGCACCCCCGAGCUCUCCUCUAUCCGCCGCCACCUUUGCCUUAGCCCACCGUCGCGUCUAGCGCCGCCUCCGCGUAGCCCUAGCCGUCGCUGUCGUUGCCGUCGGUUCAGCCGCGCCGCGCCGCCGUUGCAGCCGCCGUCGUUGGUCGCCAUCCCCACCAUUGGGAUCGCGAGGUCGUCGCCGUCCCCGUCCACCGCUUCGCCGCAGCCGAAGACCACCGGAGCACCGCCGUCACCGUCGACCCGAAGACCGUCGCCGCUUCUUCCUCGUCGCCGGCGCCGUCCGUUGCUCUUCCGCCGUUGUUUUGGUCACCGGUGAGUUCGCCGCGUCGCCCUCUACCCGUUGGUGUCCUCCGUUUGCGUCGUCGCGCCGUCGUUCACCGGCGAGCAUGCGUUGCCGAGCCGCCGCCGGUGCUGACGUCAUCGCUGACGUCACCGUUGACGUCAUCGUCGCCUUGUCCCGUGAACCGCGGUAGAUCAAGUUGAUCUCGGCCGCCCGUUUUGGAUAGAAUCGAUCUCGGCCAUUCGUUUCCUUAGACCGUCCCGUGCACCCGGACCGCCUUUGAUGACGGAAUAAUCCUCCUUUUCCUUUUCAAAAAUAAUUCAUUAUUGCGUCAUAAUUCAAUUAAAAUCCAUAUAAAUGCUUUAAUCCGAUUUAAUCUUUGAAAAUUCAUAACUAAUUCAUUGUAACUCAGUUUAAUGUGGUUCAAGUUGCAAAAGUUGUAUAAAAUAAAGAUCUACAUAUUAAAAUUAUCCAUAAAUUGAAUUAAAUUUAUUUAAUUAUUUUUAAAUGGGCUUUAAUUAGAUUUAAUCUAGUAAAAUUCAUAAUAAAUUCAUUUGAAGUCAGAAUGAGGCCGUUCAAGUCUCAUAAUUCAUCUAAAAUUAUGAUCUACAUGUUUGUUUACUUUUUAUGUAUUGUUUAUUUUGUUUUUGUUAGUCUUUUUCUUCGUUUUGCGUGUUAGCUUGUCGUUUCCGUUGUUGCGAAGGUUCGUGAGUGCGCCGGAAGUAUUCAAGAAGAUUAAUUGAAGACCGAUUAUUACAAGGCAAGUCACACAGAUCCUAAACACAAUCCUUUGAGCAUGUUGAUCCUAUAUUUAAAUUCUCUAUUUAUUUCAACUGUGCAUUUAUUUUCAAAUGUCACUGGGUGGUGUAAAUCUAUUCUUUUGUUAUGGCCUGUUUGCAUUGAUUACUUUAUUCCUUGAUACCUUGGGUUAUUAUAACUUGACUAGUUGAGCUAUAUAUAUUGGUUCAGCUAGAUAUUAGAUAUGAUUGCUUAGCCAUGCUUAGAAACAUUAGCACAUUAUUGGGAUAACUUAUGAUUCACUAUUAUUUAAUGAUGGUUUAAUGAUAGUUCACGAUGGUCAAUCGUGAUUGGUAAAUUAAUUACUUGCCAACUAAAACUUCAUAAUGGUGGGUUGUGAGCACAUGGUUUUGAGAGUUAUGCUCAUGACAAUUAAGGACCGGUUCGCGAGCUACUGUUGUGAAACAUUAACCGUGCCAACCACAAGCUAGCGUGGGCAACGGCUUUACCUUUUGUAUAGCAUGAUUCAUUGCGGAGCACCAGACUGAGAAGUGGCGGAGAUAAGCCCACGGGGGUCGCUGGGGAGUCCAUGCCUUGUUUAUAAGGGGGUGAUUAUGAUCCAGGAAAGGUGCGCUGUGGUGGAUUGUGUUGUGCAAGGGGUAUUGUCACAGCUCCUUUCCGAGGUACCGUGGUUGUAUUGAGGCACAUGGUGACAUGUUGUGGGGCUGUGUCUUGUGGGUACAGUGGUACACCUCUGGCCAGAGUAAAAUUAUUCGAAUAGCCGUGCCCGCGGUUAUGGGCGGGUUGAGCAAUGUUUUUCGUGAUUAGUCUCACACCUCUCACAAUAAUUAUGGAUGUUAUACCUGGUAAUAAUUUGCUUAGCUCCUGGUUUGGAGUUAGAUCUGUACAGCCGGGUAUGGUUGUUCAGGAUGGUUGGGCCUGUGCAGCAUAGGUGUGCUGUCCAGUGUUGAUUAAAAUUUUUGAUUAAUUACUCUACUGUUUUACUACUCUUAACUCUUUGCUAAAUGCUGCUUUCGCAAAUGAGACUAUAUUAUGCCAUCCUUUGGUAUCCUUGUGCACUUGCAUAUUUGCUGUGUGGCUUGUUGAGUAUGUCAUAUGCUCAUUCUUGCAAUAAUCAAUCAACCUCAGUUGAAGAAAAAGGAUCCAGAAGGAGAAGACGUCUGGUUUAUACCCCAGUUGAGCUGCCUGUGGGAGUGGAGCCGGAGCUUCGCUAGAUUUUAUUUUCCGCUGCAGUUUUCUUCAUGGUGAGGACUUAGUGCCUCUUAAGUAAGUAUUUAUCGUUUUAGUUAAUUUGAUGAAUCUGUACAUUAAAUUGUCAGUUUGUGUACCUCGGCUGAUUCCUGGACGAGGAUUUGAUGCACAAAUAAGUUCGGAAAUUACUAGUGAAUUUUCGGGCGUGACAGCUAAGCAAGGUAAUUCCCUAUCUGGUGAUUCGGGCACCGACCCCUACUGGUCUGACAGCGUGCUUCCGUCUAUAGCUCUAUGAUGUAUUCGAACGUGAAGGAUUACUGGGACGGAAUUCAGGGCUGUCACCACCUGCCGCCUACCUCUGAUAAAUCCGUGGGAUACACAACAAACAAAGGUAAUCUCUAACCUAGACACCACGUAUAAGUUAUUAAUUACUACUCUAAUACUUGUACGGGAACUUCCUACUUUAUCCAGAGUCCUAGUACUAGAGCACAUUGUACGAAUACUAAACAAUGAAACCGCAAAGAUGGAAAUCUAUCUUACUUAAACAAAUUAAUUAAAUAACAUAAGAAAGGAACACGAAUUCUUACUUAAUAGAAGAAGUUCUCCGAACCCGGAGUAGAGUGUACCGACAGCUACGGUACUGCUCCCGAAUUCCUCCUAGAAAGCUACACUCGUCGAGGUAGAAGUCGGAUGAGCGCCAAACUUUCGGGCACUCCUCCAGAGCUUCCCCUCACUCUCUACCUUAUUCUAACGUACAAAAGAUACAAUAGAGCCUCUUGUAAUUCAGCUCAAAGUUGUGUGUCUUGGAAAUAAGAAGGUAACCUCCUUAUAUAGGCUCCAAAUGACGGUUAGGUGUAUGGGAAAUGACCAAAACACCCUGCAAUCGCCUUAGUGGAGAAAUCCGAGCCGUCUAGGUGAAAGCAGAUGGCGGGAAGUGCCGGGAUUGGUUCGGCCGAACUGGUGGGUUCGGCCGAACCCAAAAACUCUCCUCCCGGCCUCUCCUUCGGCCGGGAGGUUGCUUAUUGGGUGCCCAACAACCUAGGCUAUGUUUUCGCCCAAUUCUAAAUUGUUUUUAUUGACUUAUUGGGCCUCUAAUCCGUCUAAACGCGUCCUGAAUACGCGGAGGUGCAUUUUGUCACAUGACGGAUGUGUUUUCUACUCAAAUUACCUGCAUAAUCAUAUUUCACCAACACUAGUGGAAAUGAUUAGUAAUAAUACCUACCACUAAGUUGGAUACCAUGUUUUAUUUUAUUAUAUGCAGGUAUUGACGGUCAGAUAUUAUGAUUGAAGGAUUGUCAACAACACCCCCACACUUAACCUUUGCUCGUCCCGAGUGAAGGUUAUGGACUUUACAAUAGAGUUAUGACUUCCUUACUAAUAAUCAUGCAAACAAAUUAUUCAAAGCCAUACCUGUACUUGUGGAUCUUUGUAGUGUCUAUCAUACAAUCCUGAGCAAUUCAGAAAUGGAACAAUCUUGACUCAAGUCACACUAACUUUUCAUGAAGAACAACUUGGGGUUUUUCAUGUAACACAAAAUUAUAACUUUGCUUUACUCCUCCAUUGAUUCUCUCGAUCACUCAAGGUGUACGAUUCCUCACAAAGGCAUAUGAUUGUGCCUUUUCUUUUCCUACCAUCUAGUAAGGCUUAUGUGGAGCUCAGGGUAUGGAAAACAGUAGAGCAUUACUUGCAUCACAUGUAUCACAAAGUCAAAUAAUGGAUCCACGGAAAUACAAGACAUACUUUCUGGUCAAGAAUGUGCAUGUGUAUGUGUAUGGUGAAUUUGUGGGUGGAAAAAGGAAAAUAAGAAUAACUCCUUUUGUAUAUCUCCUCCUCCAUUUAUUAUUUUUGUUUCUUUUGAUAUUUUGGAGAGUGCAUGGCUAUCUUUUUAUUUUCUCCUUUUUUUUCUCAUCAUCAUGCUCCAUACUCGUAUGAGCACUUUUUUUCUUUCUUUUUGCAUAGCCAUGCCUCUCUCACUUUUUUUUUGAAAGAACAUUGGAGGAAGAGGCAUAAAUGACAUGGAAUAUUUAUUUGAUGGACUAUGCAUGAAGUGAAUGGUAAAUGAGAAAUGCUAAUUUCCAGUGUAGAAGUUAAGCAUUGGUGGGUGUAUGCGGAGUGUAUGUGAUCUUGACCAUGAAAGUAUGAAAAGCAUUUCACUAGGGUUACAAAACUUGACAACGCUCAAUGAAAUGACGAGCAGCAUAUGUAGCAAGCUAAUUAUGAAUGAUCAACCUAUGGCUCUAGUCGGAAUUCAAAAUAUCAAUGAGGAGUUUAGCAUCGUUAUAUUUUUUUCUUUUUAUAAAAUUCCCAUGUGUGCAACAUGAAGAGUAGGAUUUCUAUCAUCAGACUAUAUCUCAUUCAUCAAUUACCCAGAUAGCAUGGGGUCCCUAUUGGAUAUAUCACCACAAGCAACAAGUGAUGAGCAAAGAAUAAUAGGCAUGCAUGCCAUUUUUAAGGAGACCAUGAACUCUAAUUGCACCAUCCCUAGCUUGAGUUUAAUUAUCUUCGAUAUUUUAGAAUUGAUAAUCAAAUUAAACUCAAGAUAGAAUGGAUGUCCAAAGGAAAAAUUGUGCAAACUUGGCUCUGUAUAAAACAGAGGAUGAUUCAUUGGGUCUGACUGCAUCAAUUUCCCUUGUUUGGCUCGUCAUGGCUCAUCACUUCUGGGGUAAUCUUGCUUUGGUUAUGGCGUUGAUGUGCAAGAUCACCCCCACACUUGUCUUUGUACAUUGGCUCUUUAUUGGACACAAAAAGAAAAACAAAGACACGAGUGAAGCAAAAAUGACUCACUUGGUUGGAAGACCAAGGAGCCAACUUUAUUUUAUUUUUUUAUUCUCUUUUUUUAUUUUAUCUCUUUAUGGCAACAAUGGAUAUGGUGGGUAUCCUGGCAGGAUGGACACAUGAGAUGAGGAUGCACAUGGUGUAUGAGAUUCUUACCAGAUAGGUCUUACCAAGAUUUGAGCCGAAUGCAAGAAUGCAACAAGUUUUGCAUUUGUUCUACUUGGUUCAAUGUGCAUAUCUUUUCUCGUGGAUAAGGAGCAUGAUAUAAGUGUUUGAAGUUAUUGUACACUGCUCCUUGAUUGCCUUUUUAUUUCAGGCAAAAGGUUAGUGGAUAACAAAUACCCGAGGGACUAUAAAGAUUUGAAAAGAUUUUAUCAUAGCCUCGAAAUUAGUUGUUCAAAUCCACGCUAAAAUGAAAUUGCAUUCAAAACUUAAGAAGCGUGGAUCCCACAAGGUUGCCAACAUUUUAUUUCCUGCAAAAACUUAAGAAGCGUGGAUCCCAUAAGGUUGCCAACAUUUUAUUCUGAAACAUUUUUUUUCAAAUUUUUAUUAUUCACCAAAUUUUCGUUUUAGCACAACUCAUACAGAGCUGAGGUAAAUUUGCAUGAACAUGCUGAAGGAGCGAUUAGUAAUAUAUGCACCGUGCACCUUGACAUGCGAUGUUUUACUCCUUUGCAUGUUUGCAAUUUAUUGAUUUGUUUGUCGGACCCUGACUUAUCUCCAGUGUGAAUUAAACACGAGGACUCACCCGUCAAUUUGAAAACUUUCCCCUGUAGGGGUUAGUCCAUACAAGAUAUACAUCUAAUAUCCAUGGAAGUACUAGCUCAAAUGGUUCAUUAAUCAAAUUUGACACCAUGUCUAACUUGAUUAAACAGACUUAUUUUAACCUAAGUACCAUGCUUAAUUUAAAAAGCCUAUGGAUGUACAUCGAUAAUACACCCAAACCAUGUCAUACAAAAAAAAUGGAUAUAAGAAGCAUAACCUAUAUGAUCAAGCCAUAUUCACAUAGAGAUAAGUAUGAGUAAAGGUUUGGUGAACCUUGUUUUAUCUUCCACAUACCUGAGUGUACUUACCUGCCAGCAUGAUAGAUAUAUUGGAAUCUCUGGAACAGUGUCAUGGUCACAUAUGAUUGGUGAUCUCUCCUCCGUCUUGAUGUGGAUUGUAGCAGAGGAAGGCACUUUAACCAUGCCAACUCAGGCGAGUGGGUUGGUUAUGCACACACCUCUGGUGCACGAACUUUAUUCCUUAAAGGCCCGUUCCGUUGGCACAGAGAUGUAGGGUGCAUCUAUUUCCGAGCAAAUAUGCAAGUGCCAAUUGGAGCGGAGCAGCAAACACCUAGAAAAGAAGAGGGCAUCUCCUCUUGCUUGUAUGCGUGUAGGUGUUGCGGGAGCAAGAAGCUGUGCACGGCUAGGAGUUGACAAAGGCUAAACCAAGGCGGCACAUGAGCUCGAGAGAGGGGCUAGGUGUAGCCAGGCAGCAUGAUUGCUACAAGCAAGGUGCAUAGCCAUAUUUCAAAGACAUGCACAUAAUGCGGUGUUUGAUCCAAAUGUAGCUCGUCAGCUCUCUUGCUCUUUUCUUCUCCCAUUUUUUUUCUUCUUUUCUUAUGUCUCACUUUCUCCUCUUUUUUUAUCUUCUUUUUUUUCUUUUUUUUUAGCAAGCUAGGACUAACACCAACUUCAAACCAAGAUGGCCUUGGUUGAUGGAACUCGUCAUUUUGCUCGUCGACCUUCCCCCCACACUUGGACUUUUUGUCGCAAGACAUCCAAAACCAAGUGUGUGAUGUCGGAUUCUCCUAUAGAGUGUGUUCCAAUAACAAGGAUCACCAAAGUGUACAGUUGAUGUAGCUACCGUGUUCUUGGGAAUCGCAUGACCCUCAUUCUUAAUAUCAACCUGAAAUGGUUAGCGACCAAGAAUACCCGAAGCUGCAUAUUAUCCUAAAAACUGGUUCUUGCUUUUAUUGGAAAGAAAGCUUACCAUGAUAAUCCGGGGUAUCUCCCAACAGUGCUUUGUUUAUGGUCACAAGCUUGACCAAUGGGACAUCGCUCUGCAAGAUUAGUGCCACAAACAAAUACGAGAUUUGCAGUAUUUAUGAUAAAUAUAAGCAUCCACAACCAUCCUUCUAAACAUGUUAGAAAUGAGGACCGAGAGGGGGUUGUAGUCCUCGCAUAGGGACGCGACACUAAUCGAACAGUACUUUGGGGAAUCCUUAAGCGAGCAUGAAUUCAGGGGAAUUUUGAAAGAAAAACUUUCAUGCUCAUAUGUGGAAUGCUUUCUCUCGUACUCCAGAGUCGAUGUCUUAAGCUUGUUCAUGGCCUAAAAGUUUUCCUUCUCAAGAAAUGCAUCAUGCAAGAACCGGGUUGUUUCUUGGUGAUAAACAAGAUCAACAUUAUGAGGGCCAGAGGGACAAGGCUUAGGCUUGAUCGAGAGUGAUGAGUGUCGUUCAGUUUCAUGAAGAUGGUCAAUAGGUUUAGAAGAAACGAACGAAGAUACAAACAUCACCUCCUCGAACGGCUCAUGCUUGGGAUGAGCCUUCAUUUUGCUGGAAUAAUUCAGGGUGUUUCCAUAAUCUUCAUAAAGAUCAUCCCUGAAUUGGAAUGGAAUUUCCGGAGGAUGAAUUUCUUCUUCUUCCGGCUCCAGCAACUGGAAUGAGGAUUUGGCAGUUGAGUCGGGUUCCGACUCCACAUGCAGAGGAUCCUCAUGGAUAACCUCGACCUCCAGGAUGGCUUCGCUUCGACCGAAAGAAUUGUUCUCUAAGAUGAGAUCUAAGAGCUCUCUUCCUUCUUUUGUUGUCUUGUGUGCGAACGAUCCUCCGGCGGAAAUAUCGAGAUUUGCAGUAGACUCCUUGUCUAACCCGUACCGAAAAUGUUGUAACAACACAUGGUCGGGUAAAGACAAGUCUGGGCCAGACUGAGUUAACAGCGAGAACCUGGCCCAGGCUGCAUCGAGAGAUUCCUUCUCAUUCUGUCGGAAAGAAAGGAUGUCUAAUCGAAGAUUAAUUACACGGGUUAAUGGAAAGAAAGCAAGGCAGAAUUUGCACUUAAGCUCCUCCCAUUCACCGUGAAAUUUCUUGACAGACAGAGUGUACCAUUGCUUCGCUUCAUCUCUAAGAGAAAAAGGAAACAACUUCCACUUUAGAGUUUCAUGUGUCAUGCCUACGAUGGAUAAACAUGAACACACUAGCUCAAAGUCCCAAAGAUGGAGGUAUGGAUUUUCACCAAUACCACCAGAGAAGGUUUGCUCUCGAAUCAUGGCUAUAAAGCCAGGACCGAUUUCGUAGCCAUCGGAUAGGAUUGAUUUUGAAGAACAGGAUGGCUCAGAAAGAUCAACCCGAGGAGCAGAAAGGUUUUGAAUUUUGGGUUGCUCCAUCAAGGAAAGGAAUAAAAGAAGAGAAAUAAAAAAUAAAGACACGAGAAUGACCUCGACUCGGAUAAAUUAGCAACGGCGCUAGAAAUGCUUGUUGGUAUUUCUUACGACCACAGAUAAAUCCGCAAGCGCACGGAAUACAGCUAUAGCACUUCACCUUCGGGUGACUCCAAAAGAAUAUCGAACUCAGGGAACGUGUGUAGACUACCUAAGGCUAAGACUAUCCAAGGACAACAACUGAUGAUAGGUAGGCUAGGCUAGAGAGGACUUUUUAUGUGUUUUAAUUAUCUACGCUAAGCAAGGUAAUUCCCUAUCUGGUGAUUCGGGCACCGACCCCUGCUGGUCUGACAGCGUGGUUCCGUCUAUAGCUCUAUGAUGUAUUCGAACGUGAAGGAUUACUGGGACGGAAUUCAGGGCUGUCACCACCUGCCGCCUACCUCUGACAAAUCCGUGGGAUACACAACAAACAAACAACAAACAAAGGUAAUCUCUAACCUAGACACCACGUCUAUGUUAUUAAUUACUACUCUAAUACUUGUAUGGGAACUUCCUACUUUAUCCAGAGUCCUAGUACUAGAGCACAUUGUACGAAUACUAAAUAAUGAACCCGCAAAGAUGGAAAUCUAUCUUACUUAAACAAAGUAAUUAAAUAACAUAAGAAAGGAACACGAAUGCUUACUUAAUAGAAGAAGUUCUCCGAAUCCGGAGCAGAGUGUACCGACAGCUACGGUACUCCUUCCGAAUUCCUCCUAGAAAGCUACACUCGUCGAGGUAGAAGUCGGAUGAGCGCCAAACUUCCGGGCACUCCUCCAGAGUUUCCCCUCACUCUCUAACUUAUUCUAAUGUACAAAAGAUACAAUAGAGCCUCUUGUAAUUCAGCUCAAAGUUGAGUGUCUUGGCAAUGAGAAGGUGGCCUCCUUAUAUAGGAUCCAAAUGACGGUUAGGGGUAUGGGAAAUGACCAAAACACCCUGCAACCGCCUUAGGGGAGAAAUCUGAGCCGUCCAGGUGAAAGCAGAUGGCGGGAAGAGCCAGGAUUGGUUCGGCCGAACUGGUGUGUUCGGCCGAACCCAAAAACUCUCCUCAACAACCUGGGCUAUGUUUUGGCCCAAUUCUAAAUGGUUUUUAUUGACUUAUUGGGCCUCUAAUCCGUGAAAACACGUCCUCAAUGCGCGGAGGUGCAUUUUGUCACAUGACGGAUGUGUUUUCUCCUCAAAUUACCUGCAUAAUCAUAUUUUACCAACACUAGUGGAAAUGAUUAGUAAUAAUACCUACCACUAAUUUGGAUACCAUGUUUUAUUUCAUUAUAUGCAGGUAUUGAUGGUCAGAUAUUAUGAUUUAAGGACCAUCAACACCCCUCAUCCUAUAUAAGAGGGGGCGGGGGUCCCGAGAGGACAGAGGUAUGAUCAUCUCCACAACCGAGCAUACAUCAUCUCCUUUUUCCACCGGAUACAGAUAUUCCACCACACUGAAUGUAGGGUAUUACCUCACUCUGAGGGCCUGAACCAGGAUAAACGUUUGUGUCACCAUCACUUUCUUUGAUCUAGCGUACCCUAUAAAAUAUAUUACUAUUGUCGAAGCGACAAAUGCAUACAUCGAAAGACGUGGUCACUCAACAGUGGUUGGAAAAUGGUAGUGUAUUAAAUUGAGAAUUUUUCUUCGGGAUCCCCCCAUUACAUGGCCUUAAGGGUCCAUUUAUAACCCUGUUACAGGUUCUCCUUUUAGGGUUUAGGUUUUACAGGGGAAUUUACAUGGUUGCCCUUAUGAAGGGGACAUUUACAUAGGUACACAGUGUCAUUUGCAUUCAUGGGCCUCUAAUGGGCCUGGUUGGCGAAUGCCGACCCAAGGGCCGGCCAGAGCGACCGGGAUGGCGAAGCCACCCUCCUUCGGCAGGCACCCUUCGUCUAGAAUGUACAGUCUUUGCCAUGGGGGUCCAUCUCUUGCCGUCCUCACUCCAUUGUCUUUGCCAUGUGGCUUCGGCGUCUUCGCUGUGGGGCUUCGCCCCGUUGAACUUAACACCUUAAACCUGAAUCCUGACUGGUCGCAUGGUUUCGGCAGGUCUGGUCGAAGGGUCUCAUGACAUACUGCCAACAAAUACCGAUCCUAGAAAUCGACAACUUUAUUUUCCAAUGGGUUAUAAUUUGACUAGUCUGGGCCUUAUAUAUUGGUUCAGCUAGAUAUUAGAUAUAAUUUCUUAGCUAUGCUUAGAAAUAUUAGCAAACUAUUGGGAUAACUAAAGCUUCACUAUAACCUAAUGAUAGAUAUUUAAUGGUCGAUCACGGUGGUCAAUCUUGAUUGGAUAAUUAGUUGCCAACUAAAACUUGAUUAAUGGUGGGUUGUGAGUAGAUGGUUUGAAGUUUGGAUAGUUGUGCUCAUGGCAAUUAAGGACCGGUUCGUGAGCUACUGUUGUGAAACAUUAACCGUGCCAACCACAAGCUAGCAUGGGCAACAACUUGACACUUUGUAUAGCAAGGCUCAUUGUGGUGUGCCAAACUAUGAAGUGCCAGAGAUAAACCCAUGGGGGUCGCUGGGGAGUCCAUACCUUGGCUAAAAUGGGGUGAUUAUGAUCCAGGAAAGUUGCGCCUCUCUGAGUUGAGUUAUGCGAGGGGUCUUGUCACAACUACAGAAAUGGAGACGUGUUCAGCAUGGUGUUGACGAUCCUUAAAUCAUAAUAUCUAACCGUCAAUACCUGCAUAUAAUGAAAUAAAACAUGGUAUCCAACUUAGUGGUAAGUAGUAUUACUAAUCAUCUUCACUAGUGUUGGUAAAAUAUGUGUAUGCAGGUAUUUUGAGGAGAAAACACAUCCGUCAUGCGACAAAAUGGACCUCCGCGCAUUCAGGAUGCGUUUACACGGAUUGGAGGACCAUAUGUCAGCCAAAACUACUUAGAACUGGGCCAAAACAUUGUGCAAGAUGUUGGGGGCCCAAUAAGCAACCUACCGACCAAAGAAGAGGCCAGGAGGACGGAUUUUUGGUUCGGCCGAACCGCCAGUUCGGCCGAACCAAUCCUGGCACCUCCCGCUAUCUGGCUUCACAUGGACGGCUUGGAUUUCUCUUCUAUGGCGGUUGUAGGGUGUUUUGGUCAUUUCCCAUGCCCCUAACCGUCAUUUGGAGCCUAUAUAAGGUGGCCUCCAUCUCACUUCAAGAACACACAACUUUGUGCUGAAUUACAAGAGGCUCUAUUGUAUUUUUUGUACAUUAGAAUAAGGUAGAGAGUGAGGGGAAGCUCUGGAGGAGUGCCCGGAAGUUUGGCACUCAUCCAACUUCUACCUCGACGAGUGUAGCUUUCAUAGGAGGAAUUCGGGAGGAGUACCGGAGCUGUCAUUACACUCUACUUCGGGAUCGGAGAACUUCUUCUAUAAAGUAAGCAUUCGUGUUUCUUUCUUAAGUUAUUUAAUUACUUUGUUUAAGUAAGAUAGAUUUCCAUCUUUGCGGGUUCAUUGUUUAGUUUUUUAUACUAAGUGCUCUAGUACUAGGAUUCUGGAUAGAGAAGGAAGUUCCUGCGCGAGUAUUAGAGUAGUAAUUAAUAACUUAGACGUGGUGUCUAGGUUAGGGAUUACCUUUGUUUCUUGUGUAUCCCACGGAUUUGUUAGAGGUAGGCAGCAGGUGGUGACAGCCCUGAAUCCCGUCGUAGUAAUCCUCCACGUUGGGAUAAAUCAUAGAGCUAUAGCCAGAACCACGCUGGCAGACCAGCAGGGGACGGUACCCGAAGCAACAGAUAGAGAAUUACCUUGCUUAGCGUAGAUAGUUAAAACACAUAGAAAGUCCUCUCUAGCCUAGCCUACCUUUCAUCAGUUGUUGUACUUGGAUAGUCUUAGCCUUAGGUAGAUUACACACGUUCCCUAAGUUCGAUAUCCUUUUGGGGUCACCUGAAGGUGAAGUGCUACUGCGGUAUUCCGUGCGCUUGCAGAUUUAUCUAUGGUCGUAAGAAAUACCAACACAUGGGCAUAUCAUGACAUGGUGACAUAUUGUGGAGUUGUGUCUUGUGGGUACAGUGCUACAUCUCUGGCCAGAGUAAAACUAUUCGAAUAGCGUGCCUGUGGUUAUGGUGGGUCUAACAAUGUUUUUCAUGAUUAGUCCCACACUACUCAUUAAUAAUAAUAAUAAUAAUGUGAUAGUUGAUGAUAAUUAGUUUAACUCCUGGUUUGGAAUGGAUAAUUCCUAGUUUGGAGGUUUGAUCUGUACGACCGGGGUUGGUUGUUCAGAUUUGGUUGGGCCAGUGCAGCAUUGGAGUGCUGUUCAGUGUUGAUUAAUAUUAAUGAUUAAUUAUUCUAUUGUUUUACUACUCUUAAAUGUUUUGAUAAAUGUUGCUUUUGUAAAAUGAACCCUAUAUUAUGCCAUCCUUUGUUAUCCAUGUGCACUUGCAUAUUUGUUGUGUGGCUUGCUAAGUAUUCCAUGUAUUCACCUUGCAAUAAUCAAUCGAACCUGAGUUGAAGAAAAGUUGUGAAGGACAAGACGUUUAGCUUAUACCUUGCCUGUGGGAGAGGAGCUGAAGGCAUUGCUAGACCGUUUAUCCGCUGCUGUGUUUUUCUUUUCUUUUGUUAGUUUUUGUAAUGUUAUUAUUAUGAUGGAUUUGUAUAUUAAAAUGUCAAUUUGUGUACCUCGGCUGAUUCCUGGAUAAGGAUUUUAUGCACAAAUUAGUUUGGAAAUUACUAAUGAAUUUCUAGGCGUGACAGUUGCAUGCAUGAAGGAUACUGUUUGGAAGAGAGAUUGUUUGGCUGGUUGUAUGAUAUGAGUGUGGUUACCUUUUACUUUAGUUGGGUGAGAUUAUCUCAACAAAUUCAUAUGAAGAAAUUUUAAAUUUAAUUGAGUACUUAGAUUGAAACAACCUAUCACAUGCAAAGACUAAUUUCUGACAUAUAUGGCAAAAAAUACCUGCUAUAUUAAAAAAAAGAUUCCUUAUGAGAAUGGACACAAAGUAAAUGCCGGUCAUCAACAUAUAUUAGUGGAUAUAAUCACGCCGGUUAAACAACGAGCCGGCCAUCAUCAUGAUCAUCAUAACUAGUGGCUACAAUUACUCUGGUUGCCCAAAAAAAAAGAAUAGAGAAGCAGCAUCGCAGCUCGCCUGACAUGAUGCAGCCUCGCAUAUCUCGUCGGCCGCACGGCUCACCUCCAUCGGAACAACUAGAUCCGGUGAUCAAGAGCUUUGGGUCACCAGAUCUGACGACUUCGAGCUCGUGGCCGCUGGAUCCGGCGGCUAAAAAUGGAGUGGAGGCUGGCGGCCAACGCGUAAGAAGGCGCGAGGAAGAGGGCGAUGAGAUGAGAAAGAUGAGGCCGGUGACAGUGCCACCACCGCUCGAGCAUCCAGAUCCGUCAUCCUGUCCAAGUCUCCUGCUUUCUGGCUAGCUACAUGAUAGCGGCUAGCAGUAACAAGGGGCUCCACUCGGCUGAGGAGCUCCACGAGGUGACGAUAGAGACGACAACGAAUCCGGUGGCCUCUAGGAGCAAAUGGGAGAGGGAAGAGAAUGGAUGCUUGACCCCCUCCAGCCUCAUGCAUUGACGUGUCCCCACUUGCACCCACCCGCACCCGCGCCUGCACGCGCUUGGCCAGGAUGGGGAUCGAAGCUCAAAUCAAGCGUUUCCUUCAGGACUGGCUCGGAAGGUAAAUUUACAUGAGUGGAACUAGGCCCUAUGGGCUGUGCAAGCAACCAAACACGCGUUGCUUGCAUCCGUGGGUGUGAACCAACCUACAUACAGGCAACCAAACACGCUCUAUGCAUGCCAGCAUGCACAGCCACCUGCCGUGUACUUUUGCAUUCCACUUUAUUGUAGAGAGAAUAGGAGGGAACACCACACUCCCCAAUGAAGGGGAUGACCAUAUAUUAUAGCCUUCCCAAUAUACAAGAUCCUCAAUUAGAGGAGUAUACACUAGUGGAGAAACCGUUUGUAGUCCCGGUUCGUAACCCCCUUUAGUCCCGGUUGUCCAACCGGGACUACGAAUCCGGGACUAAAGAUAGCUAUCUUUAGUCCUGGGUGAAAUAACCGGGACUAAAGAUCGAUCUUUAGUCCCGGUUUGUGUUACCAACCAAGACUAAAGAUCGGUGUACCAUUUUUUUUUAUUUUGCAUGGCCCUGUUUGCUACAAGGUUGAUUAUAUAUAUAUAUAUAUAGUAAAUUUGUUUGGUGCUCCAUGGUGCCCGGGCACCAUUGUUGAAAUUGAGUAUAUACCCAAUUCAAAUAAGUAUGAAACUUUUUCAAUUACUUAGGUAUUAACAUUAACUACUUUACUAACUAGUUUAAAGCAAGUUUGAACUGAAUUUGAACUUGUUUUUGUUAGAUUUUGAUUCUAGGUAUAUAGCAUCCAUACAUAUAAUUUGUUAGGUAUGUAAUCAUGGAUUGUGAAAUAAAUUUAAAUUUGAGUUGUUUUGUUGAUAAGUAUAGGUAUGAAUCAAAUUAUUAUAACUAGGUAUAUACUCACAAUUUGAAAAUUUUGAAAAAUUUGAGUGAUUUUGUGCAUUAGAUACCAUGGUGCCCGGGCACCAUGGUGCAUACAUAUAUAUAUAUAUGUGCAUAUGUGUAUAUAUAUAAAUACAUAUAUUACACACAUAUGUAUAAUUUAAAGCACUUAACAUUUUAUAUGCAUAUAUAUUACCAAAAUAUAUAUUAACACUAAAGUAAAUGUGUACAUAUAAAUGUGUACAUAUAUAAAUAUAUAUAUACAUGCAUAUAUAGUACAAUUCAUUUGCUCGCUAGCUAUAGCUACGACUUCGACGUCGGCGUUAUGUCAGAGGAGGAAGGACCGACGUUAUGAAUUGUUGAUCCAUCGUAGUAGAAUUCACCAUCGGGAUUAAGGACUUAUUCGUUGAUGAAUCCCAUUAGUUGUUCUUGAACAGCCGUGAUAAAAUCCUUGUGUGGGAGAUUAUCCCUCAUGUGAAUACGCUAUCAUUCAAAAAAUAAUGACAUAUCAAUAUAUGAAAUUAAUAAACAACUUAACAAAUCAAUACACAAUGAAAUUUUAAAUGGUUUAUGUAUACGUACAUCGAGCUCUCGUGUGGUGUAUAUUUGGUUUGAUAGGCAGUGGGCAUACUCGCAUACGUAGUAGACGCAUAAGUUAGUUCCCUGGUCCUGCUUUGCACACUACAUGAGAAACGAUGAGAGAUUUAAUAUAAUCUUUAUAUUUAACUGUAAUUAGAGAUUUAAUUCAAUACAAUUUUGGAUCAUGCAUAUACUCACUGGAAAAUGAAACCUCCGUCCAAGUUUUUCUUUCCAAGUCCCGCGGACCAAUUGACGGAACCGAUCCCAAGCCCUACAUGUGCAGUUGCAAGCUAUGAUUAAUUAAUUAUUACCCGAGAUCAACAUAAUAGCAAUGGAAUCCCCGCGACUUUGGAAUAGAUGGCAUUAUAUUGCCUGUCUAUCAGUUGGAAGACCUUGUCAAAAAUCUUCUCCUCUUUAUUCAUUGAGUCGUACACAGUGACUCUGCAUGCGUCCAAGUCGAAGAAUAACUGGACCCAGUGGAAUCUGGAAAAUGCGUGAGAUGAGAUAUAUAUGAAAAUGUACAUGCUAUAUGUAUGGGAACGAAAUUUGUUCGAACGACAAUAAAAACUCACUCUGUGUUGUACGACAGUACUAUGAACGUAAUGCUGCUGCGUUAGGAGAUGGACGAGAUUGUCCUCUGUGUCUUUCUCGUACUUGUCGAUCAUUUCGGUGUUGAUUUUCCGAGGGUCGAUGAACCCAGUAUCGUAGACCCUCGUCAUCGGGUCCUUUGAAUCUCCAUUCUACAACGAUGAAAGGAAAGUAUUAUUGCUUACAUAUAUGCCAGGAGCUAAUUAUUGAACGAAACAAAUCGAACUCAAAGAUACUCACAAAAUCCAUGCGCUCAGAAGAGAGACGUCGAGGGCGUCCAGCUGGUACAGAUCGAAGAGAUCCUUGAAAUGGAUCCAGAGAACAUCUUCUCCUUGCAAGAAGUCGAGGUUUAUGAUCCUCGCUCCGAACAUCUCUCUACCCUUGGUGCUCAUUUCCAUGUACCGUUCAUGGAAUUUGUACAUCUAUGUCGGUAGGGACUGCAGCUCCUCAGGCGUGCGUUAACGUUUCGUUCACGUUCGUUCGCGUUCGUUAACGUUUCGUUCACGUUCGCUCACGUUCGAACUCAAAGAUACUUACAAAAUCCAUGCGCUCAAAAGAGAGACGUCGAGGGCGUCCAGAUGGUAUAGAUCGAAGACAUCCUUGAAUUGGAGCCAGAGAACAUCUUCUCCUUGCAAGAAGUCGGGGUUUCUGAUCCUCGCUCCGAACAUCUCUCUACCCUUGGCACUCAUUUCCAUGUACCGUUCAUAGAAUUUGUACAUCUAUGUCGGUAGGGACUGCAGCUCCUCAGGCGUGACAAGCAGUUUACCGAGUUCAAAGUUGUAUGCCACUUCUGCCUUCGGGAUUGGUGCGGCUCCAAUCAGCUGAUCCACAGUUAGACCGGUGUCUGAAAUGAAAUCCGUUAUGCCAAAAUCUUCGUCGGUCACCAACGGCUCGACCUCUUGGUUUGGUUGUUCUCCAAGCUGAGGGACUGGUUUGGACUUCUUGUGAUAGGCUUUCUGAAGUGUUCGGUCAUAGUCCGAUAUCUUUAAGGCCUCCUUGUUUGUUGUGGACAUUCCCUUGAAGAAGUUCUUCACGCUCGGGUCAAUAGGUAUCUUCUUUUCAGGACUCUGAGGCUUGAGUUGCCUCUUCACUUCUCCUGCCACAUAAGCAAACACUGUUUUACCGCUGCAAUGUUUUGGCUUCGUACGGUGGUCCAUCGUAUGUUCAUAGUGCUUGCCUUUCUUCCGUACUGGGUGGUUUGCUGCAAGGAAUUGACGAUGACCCAUGUACACAACCUUCCGAUAGUGCUUAAGAUACGCACUUUCUGUUUCAUCCAUACAGUGAGUGCAAGCCUUGUACCCCUUGUUGGAUUGCCCGGAUAGGUUACUAAGUGCAGGCCAAUCGUUGAUGUUACGAAUAGCAGCGCUUGUAUGUUAAACUCCUCCUGUUUGUCCUCGUCCCACAUGGGGACACCUUCCUUCUUCCACAACAGUUUAAGAUCUUCGACCAGUGGUCUUAGGUACACAUCGAUGUCGUUACCAAGUUGCUUGGGGCCUUGAAUAAUAAUUGGCAUCAUUAUGUACUUCCUCUUCAUGCAUAGCCAAGGGUGGAUGUUGUAGAUACACAUCGUAACGGGCCAAGUGCUAUGGCCGCUGCUCAUCUCUCCAAAAGGAUUCAUGUCGCGUCCCAAAACGACUCUAAAAUACAUCCUCUAAAUUAUGCCUAGAAUAAUUAAAAACCGUGUGAAAGCCUCCAACAAUUAAAAUGUGCAAGGUUAAAAGUCAAAUAAGGGUUAGAGGAUUUUUGUAUAUUUCCUAAAAGCCUAAAAUACGUAAAUAAAUUUUAGUGGAAUUUUCAGAGCACAAAUAAUAAUUAUUAAGAAAUAAACAAAGUUAAAAAUGUUUUAUAAAAAGAAAAACCCUAAAUGUCCCCCUUCCCUCCAUUGGGCCGGCCCGGCCCAUCUCUCUUGCCCCCCUCUCUUUCUCUCCUCUCCCUGCGGCCCACUCGGCCUCUCCCCGCGCGCGCGCCGCUGACGGGCAGGCCCGCCCGCCACCCUCGCUGACGGGUGGGGCCCACCCGUCAUCCCCGUCCUCCCGCCGCUCCCGCCGCUCCGCCUGCGCCAAGCGCCGCCGCCGCCGCCAAAUCCGCCGCAUCCCGCCGUCCCCGCGUGCAAUAAAGUGGGGGAAAUCACUCCCCGUGAUCCCCUCUCCCUUUCCCCCCAUUUUUCCCUCUCUCUCUCGCGUUCAAACGGGCGGAUUUGUCCCCGCAAAUCUCGCCGGCGCCAUUGAUGGCGGCCGGACCUCCCGCUCCGGUUUUCUUCCCCUCCAGCCGCUCUCUCCCCCUUCCAACCCUAUUUAAACCCUCCCCGCACCUCCUCCGUCCAUUUCCGCCUCUCGCCGCCCUUCCUCCUCGCCGGAUUCGAGCUCGCGACGUCGCUCUCUCUCUCCGCCGUCGCCGCCGAGCUCCGGUCCGCCGCCGUCAUCGCCCCGGACUGCCUCCCACCUCGGCGCCGCCUCCUUCGGGUUCGCCGCAUCCUCGCCGACCUCGUCCACCUCUCCGUUUCGGUCGCCGACCGCCGGAACGCCGUCGACCCCGUCGACCCGAGCCGCGCCGCCGCCUCCCUCCGCUCCGGCCGCCUCCUCCGUCGCCGCCGUCGCCCCGGGGUGAGCCGUGGACCGUCGCCUCCUUUCCCCCUUCCCUCCCCUCUCUCGGCCGCCGCUCCGCCGCGCCGGUGGUCGCCGGCGGCAACCAUCGGGGCGUGGACGCGCCGCCUCCCGCCGACCGCGCCGGCGUGGCCGCCCUCGGGCGCGCCGAGCGGCUGCCGCGUGGAGGCUGGCCGUCAGCCGCCCGCGCCCUCGGGUGCGGCAGACGUGUGGGGCCCACGGCGCCGACCGGUGUGAGCCCGGGUGCACCCGGUCCACCGUGGACCGUGAGGCUGCCGCGUGGGCCCCACUCCCGUGGACCCGGUCCGCGCGCCCCUCCCCCUCGGCUGACGCAAUAAACCCUUUUUAAAUUAAAAUUUAAAUGAAGAAAUUCGUAAAUAUUCAUUUAAAGAGCAUAUAAACUUCAAAUGGCCAUAACUUGGCCAUUUGAACUCGGAAUUGGACCGUUCAAGUCUCUAAUUUUUCCUUAAGAAGUCAAGAACCCAUUUUUGUGCUUUGUUCUUGCUGGUUAUAUGGUGUUUAUUAGAGUAAAAGCCUUUUCUUUUCGGUUGGUCGUGUAGACGCUGCAGCUUCGGAAGAUCCGCUCUUCGUGGAGGUUGAAGCCGACGUUUGGGAAAGCGAGCAAGGAAAGUCACAUCAUCCUUGAACAUAUUGAAUCCCAGUUUAUAAAAUUAUUUUGAUUUAAAUUAUUGCAUUAUCGCUUUAUUUAAAUUCCCACAUUAUCACUGUUUUGUCUAGCCAUACCUAUUUACCUUUGUUAUGAUCUUAUUAUUGUUAUUGUUAUUAUUACCUUGUUCACCCUAGAAUAAACAAAACCCCAACUAGUGGACACUCUACUCAUGGUACCACUAGUAUGAAUUUAGGUAGAUGCUUCGCCGCUUAAUUAGGUAACAUUAGGUGGUUUUACAACUCUAGACUUUGGGAUAUUCAUAUCACCUGGACACUAUGGAAUGGUUGGAUUAUUGUGGAAUUGGGUUCACACCACCCCCUCUAUUCAAAAUCCUCAAAAUUGUUUUAGGCUGGGCUCGGGUGCAUAGUUUUGAUAGUAGCACCUCGGCCAUAUAAGGACCGGUCUUCGGGCCUCUGUUGCAAAGCACUACCGUACUUCCACAUGUCUAGUGGGUAAGGCUUAGUUUGUGGCUCAGUCUGGUUAUAAACAAAAGUACACGGAUGGAGAUGGACGAAGUCGGGGGUCGAUGGACAUCUCUAGGACAAAUGAAGGCUACACGAGCUGCGGCCCGGUAGUCGAGAUGUCAUGGCACAGGGCUGGUGUCCUGCUGCUAGGGGCUCAGUCCUGCCUACCUGUCCCGGGGGUUCCGGCCGUAGGUGGGGUUGGGUCGGUACUCUUGUCUAUGGCUAGGAUGGGUUGGAAACUAUGUCACGUCUUCCGUCCAUAUACCGUGGUGGUAUGUGGCACGUGGUUACACGUGAGGAAGAUGUGUCUUGUGGGUAAAGAUGUACACCUCUGAUCAGAGUAUAACCUAUUCGAAUAGCCGCGCCCUUGGUUAUGGGCAAGCCGAGCAAUGUACCCAAGUUAGUGUUUUUAAUUCUUAAAACCUGCUUAACAACUAAAAUGUGGAAUGGUUGGCCUUGGUUGGCUUGGGACGAGCUGGGACCCAGGGUCGGGUUGCCAGUUCGGU